rnacentral:lncRNA from 1 species
GACAGGUUUUCCUACAUUAAAUCAAGAUUUUCAACAAGAGCCAGAUGAUUGUGUUGCUAAGGUCUUUAUAGCAGCUUGUGAGAGCAUUUUGACAGUACCUGGAUCAAUGAAAGCAUACAGCAAUCAGGGAGAAGAGACUCAUCUCCUCCUGACCUCAGAAAACAGCACUUAUCAGGCAUGUAAAACUGAGGCACAGAGUUUUGUCCAAGAAAUGGUAUGUGACGAGGACAAGAAAGAGGAGAAGACUGAAAGAAAGCAACUGGAAAAAGAGAGGUGCAUAGAAGAGCAGAGGCCUUGUUUGCAGGGUGAUAGUGAGGAUGAUUCUGGCUCUUCCAAGUUUGAUUAUUUAUAUUUUAGUAAAGGACACAAAAAGGCAAAUGUAACCUUUACUGAACUGAGUGAUCUAAACCUUGCAGUCAUCAAUGAGAACAAAAUUAGAGGUGAAGAUGAAUGUAAGAAGUUCUGGACUGAAAAGAACAUUGGAGUUACACCCAAUGAAUGUGCUCAUGGAGGCAGUACAGGACAUGUUAAAGGACCAUGGUGGGAUGUGGAAGUUGCCAGCAAAGAUGAUACCCUUCUUGCAGCAAAUGAAGUGACAAACAGGCAGAAGUUGUGCAAAAUGGAUGUUGAUUCAAAAAAUACAAGAUGCUCCCCCAAAAUGGGGGUCCCAGAAAGCCUGCAGUGGAGCUCAGCACCACAGAGUGGGAGCAGUGUGUCUUCUCUGCAAGUAUCACAGAGGCAUCCCUCCUGCCUAGCACAAAGGCCUGGAUUAAGUUCAUCUGAAGAUCAAGAGACUGGUAGCACAGGGGAGAUGUUAGGUGCUAAUAAAUCAGAACAAGGAGACACUGUCCAAAAAGGUGAAAUGUCUUCUGCUCCCCUGAAAUCUGUUACUGUUCAGAUGUCUUCAAGGCUGGAGUUUACUCCAAGAGCAAAGUGCACAGGGCAGAAUGCUCCUCUUGAUGAGUGCCUUGAUAGGGAAGAUCCUGUGGACUUCUCCAACAUGUUAGCGCACUGUUCUGAGGGAGCUGCUCUCCUACAGUCAGACCCAGGGGCUUUGAAGGGUGGUGUGAAACAGACCACGGAAGCCUCCAGCCAAACUGACAUCCCCGCCAGGAAACCACUAUUUUGUUCACCGCAUACUCAUCUGACAAAAUCAGCCUCUCUUGACAGCAUGGUUUGUGGCAAAUACAGGUCAUACUAUGGGGGUGAAGCCUCUGGCAGCAGGAGUGUGCAGGGCAAUCACUGCUGUCACUGCUGCUGUUGCCAUGGCUGCUGCCCAUGGACCUUCCCCGUGGCUGUCUCUCCCCAGCACCCAGUAGGCUGCUGCUCAAACCAUGUCAGUGCUGAGCUGUACCUCCUGAAAACAUUGAUGCUCCUACAGGACCCUGCAACACAUAACUCUGCUCUGUGCACCCUCAAUGAGAUAGAAGUGAUGAAGAGCUCCUGCCAGCACUUCCAGGAGAAGCUGGAUGAGAUUGAACAGCACCUGAUAGAACAGCAGGCACUGUUUUCCAGCACUAUGCCAGAUG